rnacentral:rRNA from 1 species
CUGUUCAACGGCCGCGGUAUUCUGACCGUGCAAAGGUAGCGUAAUCACUUGUCUUUUAAAUAAAGACUUGUAUGAAAGGCACCACGAAGGUUCAACUGUCUCCCCCCUCUAGUCAGUGAAACUGAUCUCCCCGUGCAGAAGCGGGGAUAAACCCACAAGACGAGAAGACCCUAUGGAGCUUAAAACACCAGGCACCUGCUUCCAACCUAAAACCCAACAGGUAAAACCCUUAACCAGGCAGAGAUGACCCUAUGUUUUCGGUUGGGGCGACCACGGAGGACAGACCAUCCUCCGAGAAGAAACGGACCUUAUACCCUUAACCAAGGGCGACAGCCCUAAGUACCAGAACUUCUGACUACCUUUGACCCAGUCUAACUGAUCAACGAACCAAGUUACCCUAGGGAUAACAGCGCGAUCCACUUAGAAAGUUCAUAUCGACAAGUGGGUUUACGACCUCGAUGUUGGAUCAGGGCGCCCAAGUGGUGCAGCCGCUACUAAAGGUUCGUUUGUUCAACGAUUAAAGCCCUACGUGAUCUGA